CCCCCUUUAUGCGCUGCCCGCCGGGCCCCAUGGGAAGGGCCCUUGGUGUGUGCAGAGUUUGACUACAGUAGUACUGUACGCGCUAAUCAUUAACCUGAAAUGGCAUUUACGAGGAUGAGAUGCAGUGUGCGCUGCUCUCCCUUCAUCCCUCCAGCAAACAGAAUGUCCUGACUCGAAACAGACCCCAGAUCUUCAGAGGCAUUGACCUGGCCACGGUCAUGGGGAGAAUCGGCAGGUCUCCUGCGUCAUCUGUAGCUCUGUCCACUGACCACUUGGACACCUGUGCCCAGGAGCUAGCGACCAGACCGUCCCUGAAGGGGCAGCAGCAACAGCAGGAAACACGGCUUCCUGUGGACAUGCUGAUGACCCGAUGUCAGAGGCCGAGCUCAGAUGCUGCGUGUGUUGCUAGACGUGCUGACACCCUGGCCAGUGGGUCAGCCCUCAGGGGGGAGUUUGUCUAGAAUCCUCCGAAGAGGAAGGAAGCGGCGUGAUCAGGGUCUGGCUCCUGCUGCUGAGGAAGACGAGACAUCCGCCCCAAGGUCCUGGCAACUCUCAGCCAGCGAAGGUCCUGAUUCAGUGACUUCGUGUGACAGUUGGGUGGGAAGAGGAGGAUGGAUGGAGAAAUUAGAGUCAGUCGCUUUCAAAAACGAUCAGAGUGUGACUGGAAAUGCUCUUCUCUGCCUCGUUCUGAAGAGACUCAUUCUGGACAUAAUCCUCAAAAUGGAAAGUGGGGAGCGCGUGUAUUCUCCAAAUGGACAGGCCAGAUCCGGCCCCAGUGGGCUGUGCAAGGGGCGUCCGAUCCCCACACCCCGGGGGGAGGCAGAGAUCCGCACACCUCCUUCACCCUGGGGUCUCGUGACACCAGGUCCUAGAAUGUGCUCCCGACGACAUUCAGUUCUCGGAAGAACGCGUGGCUUUGUGGAACUAGAACUAAGUGACCUCAGGAGAGAAUGUCCCCAGAACCACGUGGCCCCUGUGGCAGGCCUGGGCUGGAGUCGUGUCAGUCUCACUGGCAACCGACUUUAAAGCUCCUGGUGAGGGCUUUGCCUUGUCUUAAGCAGAAUGCGCCCUCGCCAGCCACACGCCCCUUCCUCAGGGAGCCUUUCCACAGCCUCCCGUCAGCCCACGUCCCCUGUGAUGCUCGCUAGCAGCUCUGAUCACAGUAGCGAGUUAAACGGUUCCUUGUACAAUUAUUUGUUUAAUAUCAGUCGCCUCUCCCAAACUGUCCGUGCCGCAGCGAAGAUUUGCUGUCUGACUGAUUCAUCAGUCCUAGCACCGUGCUGGGCUUAGGCACUCAACAAAUAUUUGUUGAAUAAAGGAGGGAGGUAGAGAAUACUACAUCAAAAAUUGAUAGGGAAAUGUUGGAACUAGAAAUGACCUUACGUGUUUAUUUCAGCCCCAGAAAGCAAGGCCAGGAGUGAUAAAGAGACUUGCUCGAGGUCACAUAAGGUUGGGUGAUGAGACAGAGUUGGAACCAGCAUCCCAGACCCUCUGCUUCAACUCACUCUCCGAGGGGAUCCCCCCAGUGUGUGGUCUUGGCUAAAACUCCACGCAAGACUACUUCUGUGCAGUGUUCGCCCCUCUGCCUCCAAGUCCAGCUGGGAUCUGUUCACUUGUCUGCAUCCCUUUGACCAUUAGUCCAGGCGAAAGCACCAUCACCUCCUGCCUGCGAUCGCAGGAGCUCCCUAAGUAGUCUCUUCACUGCUCCCCGGCCCCGUCCACUCACGUGAACUGGAGCCAUCUUCUCAAAAUGUGCAUGAGAGCACGUCGCUCCCCUGCUUGAACCCCGCCAGUGGGGUCCUGACUGUGGCCACAACGACACCUUUCCGAGGCCCACAAGCCCCGCACUACCCGACCCGACCCUCCCAUCCCCUCCCUCCACGCUCUUCCUUUCACCCGCUGGGCUCCACCCACACUGGCCUUUUUCUUCUGUUGCUCUUACAUGUCUGGUUUGGAGUUUCUUCUACCUGGGAUGCUCUCUGGCAGAUCUGUACAUCCUUCUUUUCACACAGUGUCACCUCCUGUAUAAAGCAGCCCCUCCAUGCCCCCACACCUAUGAUCUAUCACAUUAUUCCAUUUUGGUACUUUCACAGCAUAUGUCACUCUCUGAAAUUAUCCUUUUUUUUUUUUUUUUUUUUGUGAGGAAGAUUGGCCGUCAGCUAACAUCUCUGCCAGUCUUCCUUCUUUUGUAUGCAGGACACCAUGACAGCAUGGCUGCCGACAAGUGGUGCCCUAAGUGCCCAGGGUCUGAACCUGCAAACCCGGGCCGCCAAAGCAGAGUGCACUGAACUUAACCGCUACACCACUGGGCUGGCCCCUGAAAUCACCAUUUUUUACUUAUUUGUUUUCUUUUAUAUUAUCAGCCAAAUCAUACCCUAACGUAAGCCCCAUGAAAGCGGGAAAGUUGUCUUGUACUCCGCUGUAUGUCUAGCACCUAACUCAGUACCCCUAUAUAUUUAUGGAAUCUGUUGAAUGAAUUAGUGUCCACAAUUCCUUCUGUGUAAUUGGAGGUACUAUCAUGGGUGUGCUCCUAAAGAUGGUGGCAAAGAGUUAACUCGUAUAAAAUCCCAGAGUGUUUGCUUGGAAAUCGAGGACACUUGGGUAGGUCAAGCAUCCCUGAAACUGGCCAGAAGCAGAGUCACCAGGAGAGCUGAUAAAAAUAGAGCUUCCUGGGCACCAGCCAGCGCCUACUGGAUCAGAACAUCCAGGGCUGAGUCAGGAAGCUGCUGGUGCUGACCGAGAGUGGGCAGUGUGAAAAAUUACCGGGUGAGUGGACCCGGGGCCAAGUAUGUGUUCUUACCUUUGACCUUGUAUCUGCACUUCUGGGAAAUAAUCCCAACCACAGAAAAGACAUUGUGUACAAAGAUAUUUAUCUCACCUUGUUUAUAAAAGUGAAAAUUUAAAAACAGCAUAAAUGUCCAAAACCAGGGGAAGUGAUUAAGGG
ensembl:lncRNA